rnacentral:tRNA from 1 species
ACCUGGGUGGCUCAGUCGGUUGGGCGUCUGACUUCAGCUCAGGUCAUGAUCUCACAGCUGUGGGUUUGAGCCCCACAUCGGGCU